UUUUCCUGCAGUUUGUCAAUGCCCGAGCUGUUCCUCUGAAUACACUCUAGUGUGCGGGCGAGUGAUCAUUUAUUCUGAAGCUUGAAUAACCAGUUCUUGCCAGAAAAUAUCGAGUAGUGAAGUUUCGUUUUCGUUACCGUGGCGUUUCUGUCGAUAUAUACUAUACCGGUCUGUGAGCGAGUGAUCAUUCUUCUCUGAAAAUAUCAAAGCUGGAGUUGGUCCUGCCUCGAAGUUGCUUUGAUAACAACCCAUUACGACCAAGAUGAAGCAGAUGGUGUACCUUUUAGUAGCAAACGCUGUUUACGGCCUGAAUCAGACUGACCUUCGUCGGGCACUUCACGCAGGAAACGAAACCGGACUAUCGUGGACCACCAUUUUUCAACUGAGCAGCGUCGUUUUAUUAGGGGUCAGCUACCUACUUAUCGGCAUUUCGACUUUCCUCAUAAUUCAUCUCAUUCGAGCCAAGAAGGAACAGCCUGGACCCAGAGUCAUUUCAGGUCCCCUGCCUCCACCCGACAUCUGCGCGAGGGAGCUUCCGUCGACAUCCAGAAAUGGCUACACCUCCGACGCAGAUCUCUCGGUUAGAUUCAACUGUAACAGAAAAAGCGAGAACGUUUAUGAGGAAUUGGAUGGUUGGCGUCACUCUGAUGCUGAUGCGACUGCGUACAACGAGAUUGAAGUAUACGACGAAUUAGAAGCCUACUAUGACUCCCUGUGCGAACAAGAUCCCAUGUUCUUGAAUAAUUUGGAUUCCACACAUGCUAAAUCCGUACACAAAACUCUGAACAGGUUUGAAGCUUAGUCAAGAACUGGCCGUAAGGACAGCAGUCCCCAAUAUCUCUCUCUCUCUCUCUCUCUCUCUCUGAAUAUAUCCAAACAUAUCUUUUCAGAAAUUUAUGUUUGUCAGAUACAAAUUAUCUUUCUCGUGUAGUAACCGUUUCAUCAGGAAGGCUGCCUCCCAAGACCUAAGAGUGUGAUAAAAGUGCAUUAUUGUUGGAACUCCUUCUAAAGUACAAUUCCAAAAUGCAAAUUUAAGUUAUCGCUGGAAUCGUCACAAAGUGAGGGUCGUAAUGAUAAUGCUUUUUAACCAGAUUUGGGUUUCCAGCGAUGGCUGGGACCCAAAAACACAUACUGAUAAUAGUAAUAAUUGAUGGGUUGACAUUGUGAAAAGUGUAAUGUGAUUUCUAUUGAUUUUCCAUGCAGAUCUCGCUCGUUUUCACUGAGAAAUUGCAAUGGACAGAGGCAUCAAAAUAGAAAUGAGUAUAAGUAUACUUUGAAGAAAAAGGUGAGGAAAAAUAGCUUGCUAAAGUGUAUCUAGGUACAGUGUAGAUGACAAGAGGAUGAAGGCACAUCUAUAUGAUCACUACUUGGUUGAAGUGAAAGUGAAAAACUGGAGAUAGUUUUGAUGAACUUUCCUCACAACUCUCAUAUGCUUUGCAUUUUUUAAAUGUUAAUAAGAUUUUCAUAGUUUUAAGCUUCCAAACUGAGCUCCAUUAAUUUAUCUUAAUUUCUUUCUGCAUUCAAAGUUUGAUUUUAUGUUGAAAUGAUAAGUGUUUGUCUGAGCACCUUUAAAAGGUUACAUUAUCAUUUUUUAAAUAUCAAUUGUCAUUUCUUCUUUCUAUCAAAUAAUUUGAAUUUUAUGUUGAAAUGAUAAGUGUUUGUCUGUGCACAUUUAAAAGGUUACCUUAUCAUUUUUUAAAUAUCAAUUAUCAUUUCUUCUUUCUAUCAAAUUAUUCUCGGCCAUUUUUGUUACAUGAAAGGUUAACAUUCACUGUUUAUACUUGUUGUAUUAUUUCUUAAGAUUAUAUUUCUAAUGUUUUUUUCAGAUGAACAGUAAAUGGUGCCUCACAAUGUUCUUUACGAUACAAAUAAUUUGAAUUUUAUGCUGAAAUGAUAAGUGUUUGUCUGUGCACCUUUAAAAGGUUCAAUACUAGUAUGUUUAUAAAAUUUUUUAUUGAUAUACUGUAAUUUUCGAAGACUGGAUGUUCUUUUAUUUUUAAGAGAUAUAAUGUAACUUUCUUUAUUGUCAUUCUGCAAACAAACCGAUACAUUGAACCACCUCUAGCAACUUUUUUCCUUAGAAUCAGCAUAAUAUGUUUUAACACGGAUAGGAGCACUUAUUAUUUUCAUAUCCUGACAAAGGUCUUAAUGGACUGAGGCCUACGCUUCAGCAAAAAUUCAUGAUUAUUGCACUACAUAUUAUAUUUUCACUAUUUAUUAUAUUUAAAGCUAUAUGCCCUCUUGUUUAAAAUAAUCAUACACAAUGACCGAUGUAUACUUUUAAGCGACUACCUUCUUCGUGUCUAAAUGGUUUAGAAAUGAACUGAUAUUUGUUCCUUUCAUUACUAAUGGGCCAACGGGUCAUGAUAUAGGUAAGUGUUCAAACUAGACAAACGUAUGUACGUACGCAUAUAAAAAGGGUCCAAUAUAAACACAUAUUAUCGCUUUAUAGCGCUUGCACGGGGAGAACGUGUUAUUUCAUCUCUGGAAAGCAAUUUAAUUUUAUAACAUAUUUACUUCGUUUUCAUUGACAAUUUUUUAUGUUAAUUAUGCAGUUGUAACUUAAAUAAGUGAAUAAUGUUCCGAAUUAAUUAUGUGAUCUAAUUUUACGUCGGGCACCAAUUUAAUGUUCUAAUGAGCAGCGAACAAUCCCCUGUACAGCGAACAGUCCCCUCGCCGGUUUUACUAUAUAAUGCAGACAGUAGGUGGCAAUACCAAAAAAACCCUGCGUAGUAUCAGCCAUUAUUAAAUUUCAAUUUUCCUGACGUAAAAAUUUAAUUACUUUAACCAGUCAUUUCUUUUUAAACUUAAUUUCAGAUUCAACCGAACUCACAUAUCUAAUUUUCGUCUUUUUUAUUUCAUGUUUUGCUCCGUGCUUUCACUAGUGUGUUCAAGAAUACGAGUUGUGAAAUCUUACGAGAGGUAAUAUUAAUAUAUCUAUCUCAAGAAGAAUCAAUACAUACCGGAGUAUGUUGAUGGUGACUCGGUAACUACUUUACACACGGACCAUUUUUUUAAUUCUAAAGGGUCAGAAAUUCAGCUUUUGAGUGCUUAUGUCAUCAUUCUAAAACGUAAGUAGUCGCCUUUGUACAUGUUAGGGGUUGAAGGAUAUCUUCUCCGGGUAACAUUUUCUUCUCGAAAUCGUGAAAUAUUGUGGUGCUGUUUUUACAUAGUGCCUGGACAUCUAGAUUUAGACCACGCAGCAAGAUACAGCCUAAAUACUCUCCACUGAAGUUGUAUCACUCGGAGCCGAAGAUUUUGAACAGGGAUGAAGUGCGACAAAGCGCCCUAUUUCAUGGAGGAGAUGUGCUAAAUACUCAAAACUAAAUAGUAACUUAAUAAGGCGUGACCCGACCUCCAGCUUACUCGGGCACAUGCUAAAAUCUAUGGUCAAGUAGUGCGUUGUUUCACUAACGAAAAUUAAAAUAGAUACGCUAUAUUUUAUAUGAAAUAAUUGUUCUGUACCAUUUAACAUGUACAUAAUUUAUUUUUUACAUUUGCAUUCUAAUAAAUAAAUCAUAAAUUUCCUAUCUUAAAA